AUGUAACUGCCAUGGGGUAGGAAGCCCGGAACUAUUCUCUGAGAGAUUCCUUUGUUGUUGUUGGCUGUCUAAAAGCAGCAAGUGGCACCCACUGCUGAAACCCUGAAGACUGUAGAGCCCUUGCGAUAAGCAAAACAAAAGACUCUCAUGGCAAAGAAAAAAGUGAAAAGAAUACAAAAGUCAAUAAAGAGCACAUCCUGGAAACUUAUGACAUGGAAGAGUACAAUAAAAAUGGAAGCCUUGAUUUUGA